UCCAACAUUUUAUAAAGGAUUAAGAAAAUCAACAAUAAUGAGAUUAUAAAAAGAUUAUAAAAAGAUCUGAUGAACUUUAGAAAAUCCAAUAAAAGAUUUAAAUACCGAAACAAAUAUUGAAAUAGAGAGAAUGAUUUGAAAUAAAUAACAGAUUGAAUUUAUAAUUCUUCAAUUCAAUCCUCAACAUAAGGAGCGCACGAUUUACGUUAAUCUUUCUUUUUUUUUUUUUUUCUGUAACUAAUGCAGGAUAUAUCGUAAGAUCAAAGGGCUAAAACAUGAGGUACGCAUCAUCGAGGUAACGGCAAAGAACUCAAAUGAAAAUGCAAACCAAGUGGAUAAUCGACUGACAGUGGCACAACGGUGAUCAGAAGUGGCUGAGAAAGGAAAGCAAACGAACAGAGAGACAUAUAGGCUGUUUCAGAGUUGCUAGACAUAUAGUUUCAAUAUAAUUAUAAGUUUUUGUGAUUUAAAAUAAAUUUACUGUGAACAUUCAUUUUUUUACGUUGCUCUCUUAUAUGUCUUCAUUACUUAUUUAUAUAUUCUAUUACAUUGUAAUAUAUUAUAUGCAUAUUUUUUUCUUCUAACGAAUUUUGCUUUCAGUAAAUAAUGUUAUUGAAAAAAAUUUUUUCUGAAGAGGCCUGCAACUACGAAACAGCCAGUAAUAUAUGCACACAUACAAGAAAAAUGUUGCGACGUGUAAAAGAAUGAGCCAACGAACGAGGGGAUGCAAUGUGAGGUGCAAUGCGGACAAAGUGAGCGAUAAAUGCGGCUUCCUUGAUGAAAAACGAUCGUAUGUAUGGAUGAUAUCUAUGUAGCAUGUGAUGUGCAUGAUGACAAAAGAGAUACUUUUGAGCUUGUUAGGAGAAAGGGCCACAGCGAUAAAUAUAAUUGACAAAAAAAGAAAAAAAAAGUGAAAAAAAUAAAUACAAUGAUAAUGAGAGGGAGGAUUAAAACGUUUUGAGGAAUGGUGCCCACAUGAUCUGGUAAAUUUUAAGAUUAAGUCUGAGAUCUUAGUAUUCGAUUUUUUUUUCUGAACAUAUUCCUCCUUUUUUCUUCUUCUUUUUUUUUUUUUGGUUCAUUUUUUUUUUCUUUUUUUCAUUCAGAAACGAGUUUAAAUAGCGUAUGUACAAUUUCUGGUUUCCUCUGUUACUUGUGCUGUUAUUUCAUCCAGGGAGAUGCAAGAUCUCCGUUACCUGUACAGGAGGGACAAUUUUUCAAGUAAAGCUCAAGAAAAAUCCGCAACUACUUCUCUAUAUAUCCUACAACAAAUGGCUCAGUAAAAGCUUCAACAAAGCGCGAAUGCAGAAGAUUAAUAUUAAAAGAUGUGAGAAUAGAACCCUAUAUUAUUAUGCAUAUAUUUCAUUACUUCAUUUUUCAUAAUUGUAACACGUGCUUAUAUAUUGCGGAUCAGAACAACCACACAGAAGCAUCCCAUUAUACACAUAUAUAUCCUACAUCGAUAACCAUUUCUUUUAUUUAAUUUAUGUUUGCGUUAUUUUUCCAACGUUUCUUUUCUUAUAUAUUUUGCCUUUUUAUCAUUGUUAGUGCGCUCAACGCGAGAGCAGCGAAAAUUACUAACCCCAAUUCGCAAGGUAUUUUCGUAUCCUAAUCUCAUCUUGCGAAUUGGGAAAUGACCUAAGCGGACAGAGAAAAAUAAAUGCAGAGAAUGAAAAAAAAUCGGUUUGAAAAGAAGAAAGUUUUCGACUCCGUGCGUAUGAUGAAUAGAAAUGGGGAUCGAGAAAGAACAAGAACGAAACCAGAGAUGGGAAGAGACAAACAAGAAGGAGAGAAAUAUAUAUAAUGUAUAGACAUAGAAACAGAUAGAGAAACAGAAAAAAAGAGAGAAAGACAGAGAUAAAUAGUUAAAAGUUACAAGUUAUUGAAAGAACAUAGUCGAAACAGCUCCGGCGAGAGAAUAGAGUGAUUACAGAUAAAGCGCUAAGCGCAAAAAUACCACUUAUUAUAAUAAUAAUUCUAAUUAUUCCGAAUUUUCAGCUUUGCAUGAGAAGUUCGGAAUCAAAAGUUUAUAAACUUGAACUCGGUUCAAGCACGCUACUGAGAUCCCUUGCACCAAACAAAAACGCAAAUAUAUUACAAUACAUGUGUGAUAUAUUGUGAGUGACGAAUACAGUGAAUCGUCAAAACGCUGUUUUCAUUAGUUACUCUUUCACACAAACAAGUACGUAGACGUCAGAGAAGGAUCUUCAGUCAUGCAAAUAUUGAAGUUUAAGUUUUUUAAGACAAGACACGAGUAACAGUUUACUAUCCACCAAGCAAACUAAUACUCAUUUUUUAUAAAUUCUACGUACUACAGUAUCUAAAUACAUACAUAAAUUUCUAAGAAUUUUACUUCCACAAUAACAUUAAUAUUCCAGAUAACGAUAUUUUUAAAUAUCUUUUUAAAUUUUUUAUGAUACUUUAUAACAUUCUCUUAUAAUAUUUAUUUCUUCCAUUAAUUUUGAGUUCAAAAUAUUUUAAAAACUUAUCUACAUUGAUAAAUAUUAUCCUCAAACAAUUGGUAUACAUUAUUCGUCAGCAGUCGAGUAAUAUUGCUUGGACCAUGCACACAGAUCAUAUACAGGAAGUGUCGUGCGUUCACAUUUAGUUUAUCAGCUUACAUAUAGACCAAUAUUAGUUUAUCGUGAAUUAUCCCAGGAUAUAUUUUAUCUUCUAUUAUCUACAGAUUGUCGGAGAAUAAUUAUUUGUCAAUAUAGAUUAACCCUUUAUUCAUUCUUUGUAGAAUAAUUUUCAACUUCUUUACCUAUAAUUCAAAAAUAUAUACAAUCUAUAUUCAGAUACUGUGGUACUUUCUUAUUCAAUUUUCUAUCUUUGAACAUUCAAAGUUUCUUUCUUAGAAGAAACUUGGAACAUUUUAUCACUUGGCCAGCAUUAACGUAAAAUUACAAGAAGAGGGGAGCGAGGGAACAACUGAGCACGCGCGAUCAUUCUUGUCCAAUGUAUUCAAUUCAAAUCACAGUGUUCAUCAUAUCAUUAUUUAAAUUGAAUUCCUUUCAAUAUCCGAGCAUCUAAGGAGCAUGCUACGUAAAGCGUAUGUAUAUUAG